rnacentral:rRNA from 1 species
GACGAACGCUGGCGGCGUGCCUAACACAUGCAAGUCGAACGGGGUGAGAUCCUUCGGGGUUUCACUUAGUGGCGAACGGGUGAGUAACGCGUGAGAAACCUGCCUUUCAGUGGGGGACAACAGUUGGAAACGACUGCUAAUACCGCAUAACGUAUUUUGGGGGCAUCCCUGAAAUACCAAAGCUUUAUGUGCUGAAAGAUGGUCUCGCGUCUGAUUAGCUAGAUGGCGGGGUAACGGCCCACCAUGGCGACGAUCAGUAGCCGGUCUGAGAGGAUGAACGGCCACAUUGGGACUGAGAUACGGCCCAGACUCCUACGGGAGGCAGCAGUGGGGAAUAUUGGGCAAUGGGGGAAACCCUGACCCAGCAACGCCGCGUGAAGGAAGAAGGCCUUC